rnacentral:tRNA from 1 species
GCCUUCGUGGUGUAGUGGUCAGCACACGCGGCUCAUAUUGAGAUGUCCGUGGUUCGAGUCCCGGCGAGGACA